UAAGACUCCCACUGACUUCUCUGGGCUUUGGAUCAGAACCUGCACUGGAACACUGUGACCCAGGGACCUCUUGGUGCCAACUGGCAGAGAGGUGUAUAAGGGUUACAAGCACCACCACCCCGAGUCUGGUAUCGACAUAUUAGUUUGCCAAAGAGUGCCAUGUAAGGACUGGACUGAAAGACUGUCACACUGGUCAUCAUAAUCAUUGUUAAAUGAAUGAUGAGAAUCUGGAGGAGUCCCCUGGACCAGAGGCUGGACACUGCAGGCAGAUGCUUGGAGGGCUCAAGGAUUGGAGUGUCUCUGUUGCUAACUGGCUAGCCGAGCCUGCAUAGACCGAGAGGAGGAUGUUGUGCUGCCUGUUAGCGUCAGGGAGAUGGCCCCAGGCAGGCAGAGAGGAGGGCAAGUGCCCUUCCUCAUGCUAAGGGCAGGUGGUAGUGAGGUGCCUCACUAUCCUGGUCACAGGUAGUGAGGAUAUGGCAUCCCAACCUACCCCCGACCGACUGUCACUACUGCCCCAUGGCAUCUGUUCCUGUAAAACACAGCUGUCACAACUCAUUGAAGGUAACAAAGGCAGAUAACACCAGCUACUUGUGUUAGGCUUGGGAGGGGGGAAAAAAUCAAGAAUUUAGCAAAGACUAUCAGGACACAUUGGCAGCGGCUCAAAAAGUGUCUGUCAGUUUUUGCAACUUUUAACGAAAGAUCCAAAUGGAUUUUUAGUGGAAUCUUUUAAGAGCCAAUUCAUUUUAGACCUACAAAAUGGGGUUUUAUAAGCCAGGAGCAUUU